GACGUAGGUGGCGAACGUUAUCCGGAAUUAUUGGGCGUAAAGGGUGCGUAGGUGGGCAAGUAAGUCAGUGGUGAAAUCUCCGGGCUUAACCCGGAAACUGCCAUUGAUACUAUUUGUCUUGAAUACUGUGGAGGUCAGCGGAAUAUGUCAUGUAGCGGUGAAAUGCUUAGAUAUGACAUAGAACACCAAUUGCGAAGGCAGCUGGCUACACAAAUAUUGACACUGAGGCACGAAAGCGUGGGGAUCAAACAGG
rnacentral:rRNA from 1 species